rnacentral:tRNA from 1 species
AAGGCCUUAGCUUAAUUAAAGUGUCUGCUUUGCAUGCAGAAGAUGUGGGUUAGCGUCCCGCAGGUCUUA